rnacentral:rRNA from 1 species
GAUGAACGCUGGCGGCGUGCCUAAUACAUGCAAGUCGAGCGAACAGACGCGGCUUUUGCUCCUCUGACGUUUGCCGCACACGUGUGUGUCACAUGUGUAUCACCUCCCUAUAUGUCUGGUAUCUCUUCGGGACUCCGGAUCUAAUCCCGUAUAAUCUCUUGAUCCGUAUGGUUCAUUUGUGAAUUUCGGUUUUUCUGUCUCUUCUCGCUGCUUCGGGGCCUCAUUUGCUAGUUGUUACGGUAACGGCUUACCAAGGCAACGAUGCGUAGCCGACCGGAGAGGGUGAUCGGCGACACGGGAACUGAGACACGGACCAGACGCCUACGGGAGGCAGCAGAAGGGAAUGUGCGGCAAUGGGCGAAAGCAUGACGGAGCAAGGCGGCGUGAGUGAUGAAGGUCUUCGGAGCGGAAAGCUCGGUUAUUAGGGAAGAACAAAUGUGGAAGAAAAAGGGCAGGGAAUGACGGUAACGAAUCAGAAAGCAACGGCUAACUACGUG